AUCUACGGCCAUGCCACCCUGAACAAGCCUGAUCGCGUCUGAUCUUGGAAGCUAAGCAGGGUCGGGCCUGGUUAGUACUUGGAUGGGAGGCCACCUAGGAAGACCAGGUGCUGUAGGAG
rfam:Pteropus alecto contig96280, whole genome shotgun sequence.